AUUGAACGCUAGCGGCAGGCUUAACACAUGCAAGUCGAGGGGUAUAGGUUUUCGGACCUAGAGACCGGCGCACGGGUGCGUAACGCGUAUGCAAUCUACCUUUCACAGAGGGAUAGCCCAGAGAAAUUUGGAUUAAUACCUCAUAGUAUAGCAGUUUCGCAUGAAACCACUAUUAAAGUUCCAACGGUGAAAGAUUAGCAUGCGUCCCAUUAGCUAGAUGGUAAGGUAACGGCUUACCAUGGCUACGAUGGGUAGGGGUCCUGAGAGGGAGAUCCCCCACACUGGUACUGAGACACGGACCAGACUCCUACGGGAGGCAGCAGUGAGGAAUAUUGGUCAAUGGACGCAAGUCUGAACCAGCCAUGCCGCGUGCAGGAUGACGGUCCUAUGGAUUGUAAACUGCUUUUGUACGAGAAGAAACAACAUUACGUGUAAUGUCUUGACGGUAUCGUAGGAAUAAGGAUCGGCUAACUCCGUGCCAGCCGCCGCCGUAACAC
rnacentral:rRNA from 1 species